AUCCUGGGGAAACCAAAAUCACCCACUCGGCCUUGUGAUACUCAGCCAUUAUCCGAAUCGGUCCCUGUGAUCCAACUCAACUCAAUCAGACAACCCUGCCUUCUUCUUGAGGUGCGCCUUGAAUUCCAUAAUGUCGCCCUCCCAGCGGGUAACAGCUUGAUUCUCACAUACCCAUAUCUCCUGCGCUACCUGGUUUAUGAGCCUGAAAUCAUGGCUAACGAGAACCAGACCCCCAUCCCACUCUUUCAAUGCCUCCGCCAGGGAGUCGAUGGUCUCAAUAUCCAAAUGGUUGGUUGGCUCAUCCAGAAGGAGCAUUUGGGGUUGCCUAAAUGCCAGCCAAGCAAAUAUCACCCUGCUCCUCUGCCCAUCUGACAAAUUACUCAUGGGCAUCACCUGGGCCUUGCCUGUCA
rnacentral:lncRNA from 1 species